rnacentral:rRNA from 1 species
GUGAGGAAUAUUGGACAAUGGGCGCAAGCCUGAUCCAGCCAUGCCGCGUGCAGGAAGACGCAUCUAUGGUGUGUAAACUGCUUUGUACGGGAAGAAACACUCCCUCGUGAGGGAGCUUGACGGUACCGUAAGAAUAAGGAUCGGCUAACUCCGUGCCAGCAGCCGCGGUAAUACGGAGGAUCCAAGCGUUAUCCGGAAUCAUUGGGUUUAAAGGGUCCGUAGGCGGUUUAAUAAGUCAGUGGUGAAAGCCCAUCGCUCAACGAAGGAACGGCCAUUGAUACUGUUAGACUUGAAUUACAAGGAAGUAACUAGAAUAUGUAGUGUAGCGGUGAAAUGCUUAGAUAUUACAUGGAAUACCAAUUGCGAAGGCAGGUUACUACUUGUGGAUUGACGCUGAUGGACGAAAGCGUGGGGAGCGAACAGGAUUAGAAACCCUGGUAGUCC